ensembl:lncRNA
UGUUCUUUUGUUAGGAGGCCUCUUUUGUUGUCUUUAUGUACAGCAAAAUACUUGUUUCUCUUUUUACUUUCGUGGAGAGAGAAGGAAAAAAAAUGUAUUGCACAUGGUUUGAGUUGGCAAACGCUGGGUUCGGUGACGGUUUCUGUCUUGGAGGAAGGCGGCCGUGCUGGUGCCGGUGCCGGCUGCAGUGCCGAGCCCGGCGGAGCGGGAGGGGCUGGCAGGGCCCCUUCUCCCCCCCCCCCAACACGAGCUGCUGUCACCCGCAGCCUCCCGGGCAGCGGAAGCUCCUCCCGCAGCAAAGCAGCCCCGGCUCGCACACAGCGCACUUCCGGGGCCAUGAGUUCGGUCGCCCCCAGUUAGCGAUGCCAGGGCCCCUCACAGAGGAGCUGCCCGCUCCCCAGAAAGCAACCCGGCACCACCCGCGCGUCCCUUCACACGGUCAGUGGGUCACAGCACCCCGAACUCCAGGGUAAACACUUGAGUUAUCUCUCAACUUUCAUGUUAAAAAACAAACCAAACCAAACCAGAAACACACCGGGCAGGCAAGCAAGCAGAGCUCGGCAGAGACCCCGCGCCUGCCCCGGGGCGAGCUCACACGCAGGUGGGCGGCGGGGCGGGGAUCUCGUACUUGCCCUGGUGGGUUUUGGGGGGAGGCUGGGCCUUGGAGUAAAUGCCCCCGCCGGCGCCGGCGAUGACGCUGGCGGGCUUCCUGCGGCUGCUCCGCCUCAGCCGGCGGCUGCACACGCUCUGCCAGGACUGCAGGGUCUUGGAGGUCCAGACCCACAUGCCGCUGGUGAUGCCCACGACCAGCAGCAUGGACACCUUCACCAGGAAGAUCUCCACGGCCGGGAUGGAGGCCGCCAUGGCGCAGUCCAGGUCCUUGGUCUGGUUGUUCACCCUGCACUUGUGCUGCGUGGCCAGGGUCUUCCAGUAGUCCACGUUCAGGCGCUCGUAGAAGUAGCAGGCGAUGACGCAGGUAGCAGGCCAGCGGCACCAGCACGAAGCCCGUGAGGGCGUUCACGUCCAUGCUGCCCACGUAGCACACGCCGGUCAGCUCGUCGCCCGCCACCCGGCGCAUCACCAGCACCACGAUGGUCUUCACGGCCGGGAUGGCCCAGGCGGCCAGGUGGAAGUAGCUGCUGUUGGCCUCGAUGGCCUCGUGGCCCCACUUCUUGCCCGCGGCCAGGAACCAGGUGAGCGUGAGGACCACCCACCAGAGCGAGCUGGCCAUGCCGAAGUAGUAGAGCACCAGGAAGACCAGGGUGCAGCCCGUGCUCUCCAGCCCCUCCUGGAUCACGUAGCGCUGGCCGCUGUCCCGGUCGCACGCGAUGCUCUCGGCGCCCGCGAAGAGGCGGAUGAUGUAGCCCACGGAGUAGACGCAGUAGCACAUGGAGAGGAAGAUGAUGGGGCGCUCGGGGUACCGGAAGCGCGCCGGGUCGAUGAGGAAGGUGAGCACGGUGAAGGCGCUGGACAGGAAGCACAGCUGGGAUCACUCCGCCAGUCAGAUCACGGUGACGCGAUUGUCGGCCUUGCUCCAGCUCAUGCCCCCUUCCAGGAUGUACAUUAGCGCGCACCUCGCGCUCUAGCCCACGAAGGUG